AGAGUUUGAUCCUGGCUCAGAACGAACACUGGCGGCGUACAUAACACAUGCAAGUCGAACGAGAAAUUCCGAUUCGUCGGGAGAGUAAAGUGGCGAACGGGUGAGUAAUACGAGGGUAAUCUAUCCUUGGAUUAGGGAUAACUUUGCGAAAGCGAAACUAAUACCUGAUAAGACUACAAUCUCUUAGGGGAUAGUAGGAAAAGAUGGCCUCUGUUUCAUGCUAUUGUCUGAGGAUGAGCCCUUGCACUAUUAGCUAGUUGGUGAGAUAAAAGCUCACCAAGGCGACGAUGGUUAGUUGGUCUGAGAGGAUGACCAGCCACACUGGAACUGAGACACGGUCCAGACUCCUACGGGAGGCAGCAGUGAGGAAUAUUGCGCAAUGGGGGAAACCCUGACGCAGUGACGCCGCGUGAGUGAUGAAGGCUUUCGAGUCGUAAAGCUCUGUGAGGUGGAAAGAAAAAUUCCAGUGAUAAUACCACUGGAACUUGACGGUACCACCAGAGGAAGCACCGGCUAACUCCGUGCCAGCAGCCGCGGUAAUACGGAGGGUGCAAGUGUUGUUCGGAAUUACUGGGCGUAAAGGGCGUGUAGGCGGUUAGGCAAGUCAGAUGUGAAAGCCCUUGGCUUAACCAAGGAAGUGCAUUUGAAACUGCUUGACUAGAGUACAGGAUGGGAAAGUGGAAUUCCCAGUGUAGAGGUGAAAUUCAUAGAUAUUGGGAGGAACACCGGUGGCGAAGGCGGCUUUCUGGCCUGAUACUGACGCUGAGACGCGAAAGCGUGGGGGGCAAACAGGAUUAGAUACCCUGGUAGUCCACGCCGUAAACGAUGGGCACUAGGUGUAGGAAGUUUUGACCCCUUCUGUGCCGAAGCUAACGCAUUAAGUGCCCCUUUUGAAGAGUACGGUCGCAAGGCUAAAACUCAAA
rnacentral:rRNA from 1 species